AUCCGAAAGAAUAUCAGUUGUGCAUGAAGGAAUCUACAGUCAGCAACCAAAAUACAGCAACUUCAGGUACGGCAAAGGAAGGACAGACACAGCUAUAAACUUGAUGGGAUGGGAGGA